CAGAAACUGAUUUAACAGGCAGAUAGAACUGGGAUAGAAGCUGUUCUAGAACCUGUGGUCCAGAAACUGAUUUAACAGGCAGAUAGAACUGGGAUAGAAGCUGUUCUAGAACCUGUGGUCCAGAAACUGAUUUAACAGACAGAUAGAACUGGGAUAGAAGGUGUUCUAGAACCUGUGGUCCAGAAACUGAUUUAACAGGCAGAUAGAACUGGGAUAGAAGCUGUUCUAGAACCUGUGGUCCAGAAACUGAUUUAACAUGUGUGAGUGUCCAGUGUGUGUGUGUGUGUGUGUGUGUGUGUGUGUGUGUGUGUGUGUGUGUGUGUGUGUGUGUGUGUGUGUGUGUUUGUGUGUGUAUCCAGUGUGUGUGUGUGUGUGUGUUUGUGUGUGUAUCCAGUGUGUGUGUGUGUGUGUGUAUCCAGUGUGUGGAUCCAGUGUGUGUGUGUGUGUGAGUGUGUGUAUCCAUUGUGUUUGUGUGUGUGUAUCCAGUGUGUGUGUGUGUGUGUGUGUGUGUAUCCAAUGAGUGUGUGUGUGUCCAGUGAGUGUGUGUGUCCAGUGUGUUUCUGUGUGUGAAUCCAGUGUGUGUAUCCAGUGUGUGUGUGUGUAUCCUGUGUGUGUGUGUGUGUGUGUGUGUGUGUGUGUGUGUGUGUGUGUGUGUGUGUGUGUGUGUAUCCAGUGUGUGUGUAUCCAGUGAGUGUGUGUGUGUAUCCAGUGUGUGUAUCCAGUGUGUUUGUGUGUGUCAAGCGUGUGUGUGUCCAGUGAGUGUGUGUGUGUCCAGUGAGUGUGUGUGUGUCCAGUGAGUCUGUGUGUCCAGUGAGUGUGUGUGUCCAGUGAGUGUGUGUGUAUCCUGUGUGUGUGUGUAUCCAGUGUGUGUGUGUGUGUGUAUCCAGGGUGUGUGUGUGUGUGUGUGUGUGUGUUGUGUGUGUGUGUGUGUGUGUGUGUGUAUCCAGUGUGUGUGUGUGUGUGUGUUUCCAGUGUGUGUGUGUGUGUAUCCAGUGUGUGUGUGUGUGUGUGUGUGUGUAUCCAGUGUGUGUGUGUGUAUCCAGUGUGUGUGUGUGUGUGUGUGUGUGUGUAUCCAUUGUGUGUGUGUGUGUGUGUGUGUGUAUCCAUUGUGUGUGUGUAAGUAUCCAGUGUGUUUGUGUGUGUGUAUAUCCAGUGUGUUUGUGUGUGUGUAUCCAGUGUGUGUGUCAAGCGUGUGUGUUUCAAGCGUGUGUGUGUGUGUCCAGUGUGUGUGUGUGCGUCCAGUGAGUGUGUGUGUGUUUGUGUGUCCAGUGUGUUUCCAGUGUGUUUGUGUGUCCAGUGUGUGUGUGUGUGUCCAGUGCGUUUGCCCAGUGUUUGUGUGUGUGUAUUGUCCAGUUAUUAUUUCAGGGACACUGAAGAGCCAACAUAAUAAACCCCAAACCCUGGAUAGAGGGGCUCAGUGAAUGUGGAGGUGAAUGUGAUCAGGUGGGUCAGUGUGUCAGAGGAGGCUCUAUAGAAGGACAGAGUGCCGGCUGGCCUGUCCAGAUACACUCCUACUCUGUGGGGGCUGGAGGAGGGGACAUCUAUGGUAGUGGAGUUAUUAUUAUGAUAGUCAGAGUAACUGUCGUCAGAGCAGAACAGACACCAGGACUUGUCAUUGGCUCCAAGCCAACAGUCAUCACCCCUUCCUCUCCUGCUGAUUCCUUUAUAUGUCACUCCUAUAUCAGCCCCCCCACUCCACUCUACCUCCCAGUAACAGCGCCAGUAUUGACACGGCUGGAUAAAAAACAUACCCGA
rnacentral:lncRNA from 1 species